UCUUACGAAUGAGCAAAGAAAGUGGUUUCUUGAGAUGGAGUCUUCUCUUGGUGAAGAUGCUGUGAA
rnacentral:pre_miRNA from 1 species